AACGAACGCUGGCGGCAGGCCUAACACAUGCAAGUCGAACGCCCCGCAAGGGGAGUGGCAGACGGGUGAGUAACACGUGGGAACCUUCCCAACAGUACGGAAUAGCCCAGGGAAACUUGGAGUAAUACCGUAUAUUCCCGUGAGGGGAAAGAUUUAUCGCUGUUGGAUGGGCCCGCGUCGGAUUAGCUAGUUGGUGGGGUAAUGGCCCACCAAGGCGACGAUCCGUAGCUGGUUUGAGAGAAUGACCAGCCACACUGGGACUGAGACACGGCCCAGACUCCUACGGGAGGCAGCAGUGGGGAAUCUUGGACAAUGGGCGCAAGCCUGAUCCAGCCAUGCCGCGUGAGUGACGAAGGCCUUAGGGUUGUAAAGCUCUUUUGCCGGGGACGAUAAUGACGGUACCCGGAGAAUAAGUCCCGGCUAACUUCGUGCCAGCAGCCGCAGUAACAC
rnacentral:rRNA from 1 species